rnacentral:rRNA from 1 species
AGCAGUCGCCGCGGUAAUACCGAGGGUGCGAGCGUUAAUCGGAUUUACUGGGCGUAAAGCGUGCGUAGGCGGCUUCUUAAGUCGGAUGUGAAAUCCCUGAGCUUAACUUAGGAAUUGCAUUCGAUACUGGGAAGCUAGAGUAUGGGAGAGGAUGGUAGAAUUCCAGGUGUAGCGGUGAAAUGCGUAGAGAUCUGGAGGAAUACCGAUGGCGAAGGCAGCCAUCUGGCCUAAUACUGACGCUGAGGUACGAAAGCAUGGGGAGCAAACAGGAUUAGAUACCCCUGUAGUCCCUGUCUCUUAUAC